UGAUAAAAGACCGGAUCCAGAUGACCGGAGAGGUCUGGCUGGUACAUACUGGGUCAGGAGGGGACAGGAAGCUCAACCAGGACCCCUUGCUUUGGUGACUGAUGUUAACACCGUGUCUGGCUGGAGUGAAAUGGCUGACAUUUGUUCUGGGAACUUAAGUCUUCCCAGAUCUUCCCAAUAUGUAUGUAGUAUGUGUAUCUACAAUAUGUCUAUUAGUUAUCUAAUAGACAUCUUGUGCCCAGUGGGUAACCGUAAAUGUCUGCAGGAUGAUAGCUUGGAGAGACGGAAUCCCUUCCUGAAGUGUUUGUGUUAAAGGCCUUUAGAAAAGCAGACAGUCCCUGUUUUUAGACUGCAGUAGAAAAAGACAUUUAUGAAGAAAUUAGGAAUGCAUAGAUUGUUAUUUAGCUCAUUUAUCUUUAAUUUGAUCAAAUGUAUGCAAAAUGCCUGUUAUUUGCAUACAGGCAGACAUUUCAGUUGGUUUUAUUUGUUAUUUCUAAUACCGCAAUAUCUUUAAUGUUAAAAGUUUACCAGGAAUUGCUGCCUUUACUGUUCAUGUGAGCAAGUGGUUUGGAAUUGGGAUGCUCACGCAGCUACGGGGCUCCUGUUUCAGUUAACAAGAACUUCUUUGUUUUUAUUUACAUACAGGGCACAUGCAAAACUAAACUAGAGGGCAAUAAACAAAUGAAAAUUAUUCAACUGGGUUUUAUGUCAGUUUGCUGAAGGUCUUUAGACAUUUUGAAUUUUUGUACAUAGAAUCAGAGCAAAUAAAAAAAAAUGUGAAAAAAGAGAUUAACCCCAACUUUUUGUUGUGAUGAAGUUUAUGGACAUGCAGUGUUUGAUCAAAUCAAAUGAAGGACAGAACAUUUAUUGUCUUGUUUAUUAUUGUUAUAAAACCAAACAUAGUGAGGUUUUAGCAAACGUUUCGGAGAAGAUAUUUCUAUAGAGACACUAUGUCAUCAGAAUUUCAUGUGUGGUUGUAUAGUCCAGAAUAAAUGAGCCUUGUUUUUAAGGAGGUUGUUGCAGGAAGAACUGGUGGUGUAAAUCGGUUACGUCUAAAGUCCAGGCCGGGGGACACAUGUGGCCAUUAAACAGUUCAUUGAAUAGUUCAUUUGCAUUACAUGUUAUUAAAAGGGUUAAAAGAAUGGCAGAUUGGUUGACCCUUAAACAUUUUCACCUCACCCAAUUUGGCCCUCUUUGUAAAAAGUCAGGACACCAUUGGUGUAAAUAUUCUAUUCAAAUCUAGGUGAAAGAAAAGUAUUACUCUGACCCCGGGAGGAUGUGCAGUGGAUCCUAGCGUAUCAAUCUACAUCUGUGGUCAUGUGUUUGAUAUGUUGAAGGAAGACAGGGGGAGCAUUACUGCACCUGUAUUUUGUCUGUAUUUUCAUUUUGGGUUAAAUAAUCUGGAUUUUUUUGAAUUUACAUGAUAUUUAUUUAUAUAAAUGUUUCUCGUGUAUAUUUUGUAACCACUAAUAAAGAGAUUCAUAACCCC